GCUGAUCAUUCCCUUACCCUUUAGAUGUCUGUCUAUGUCUGUUUUUGUGUGAUAAUGAAAGAAUCCCAACUCAAAAAGGCUCUGUUGAUCUUUUUUUGUUGUUUAUUCAUAUUCAAACCACUAUUUUAUAUCACUGCUAAUACGCCAAGACCAUUUUAUGGUAUUUAGCUUUAUUAUUUCUAUACAUUUUGCAAGGAAAGAAACCAAGGCCUUCACUAAAAUUUCCAUAAACUUUAGGAAAGGACCUCUGGUUGUUUAAGGGGGUCGUUACUGCAAAAACAUAUUCUUCCUAAAUUUUGAAGGUAAAAGCUUAGAUCCAUUAGGUUUAAAUAGAAAAAGCAUUUAAAUAUGUUAGGAUUAUAGCAUAUGACAAAUGUGUGCCUCUCAGUGGCCAUAACUACUUUGUCUGCUGGCUCUGCAGUCGAUUGCCGUUCCCCAGCGUUCAAGUCACAUGACAUAUUUAACCGGAUGUAGCUGCAAGACGGAGCCUCGUUGAUUCUCCUAUCUUAAAAGUGAGGACCUCAAACUAUAUACCAGUUUUUAAAUUGUGUUGAUAGGCCAAAUAAAACCAGAGUUAUGAUAAAUUAUGUCCGCGAUACUUUUUUUCUGCUUAUUUUGAUCACGUUCGGCGCUCGAUCGCGCUGUAUGAGACAGGAAAACAUAGCAUGCAGACAUUAGCGACAGCUCUUACAGGCGGAAAAGACUUGCCAAAAGAAAAGAAAAAAACACACCACAACAUCUCUCCUAUUGGUGGAAAACUUCACCACAACAACCAAUCCAAAAUUAUAUGGUGACUGAUUGACACGGGACGGGCGCUCGUGUUCUUCCUGCAACUUGAGAAGGGAGGGAGGGACUCUCAGCAGGGAUGCAGUCUGGGACACGUAGUUGCAAACCUAGCGACUUUGUUGUUAGAUUCAAUGACUUUUCAGACCCCCUAAUGACUUUUUUUUUGAAAGAAAGGGACUUUUAUCGACUUCUUCUGGAGUUCUGGAGUUUAGAGACUCUGACAUGAAGCAGGCUUUCCUUACUGAGGAGUUAGCAACGCUGCUAAGGGUGCAGAGCCACACAUGCGCUCCGAGCUCUGCAUGGGAGACUGAAGCUGACAGAGCUGCAGCAGUUAGCAGGUUUCACCCUCAGAGACCACCAGGGGUUCAUGUUGAGGCAUUUUCAGUUUUUUUUUUUUUUUUUGCCAUAGACACUGUCAGCACAAUCUGCAGUUACACUAACAAAAAUGCUGCAAAAAACAAUGAAUUAUGGAAAAAUUACACAUGGACUAACAUAGAGGAGGAUCUACACAAGUUUUUUACAUCAUGUUUUACAUCAUGCAUCAUUUACAUCAUGUUUUUUUGUAGUGGCAUAAAUAAAAAGUGACAUUUGUGAGACUAUACAGUGUUUUGUAAAUAAUUUUACAAAGAACGCCUGGGCCAUUGCCUGCAUUUUGAUGUAAAUAGAGGUAAAUUACUAUGUUCUUUGUUAAAAAUUUGCAUAUGUUUUG